AAAGCUACCGUAUGUAAUAUAAAUACGGUAAAAGAAUAACAUCGGAACAAAAUCCUCGCCAGCACCAGACCAUUCUCCAUCCUCGCUUAUCCUGCACAUUUAGAAAUACAUGCAGGGCUGAGUACAAAGUACUCAGUGGACAUAUGCCGAAAAACAAAAUGAAAGUUUGCUCUUAGAGCUAUAAAUUGAACUUGCCACAUUAAGCAACACACAGGGGUUUUAGUUAGAGAAGAACCUGUGCAUGCAAUUUCGCAAAUCAUAAACAUCCACUACUCAUCAUCAAAGGUACUGAGAAGUAGGCCUCCCUCUCAAGUACCAUGACCGACCGACCCGAUAGACGGCUCACAGUCACCUCUGUGCACAAAAUUCCGCUUGUGGCAGGACCGAAUUCGUCUCAUCAAUAGAGGGUAACACACAAGUCAUUAUUAACAAAACUCGGCAAGUCAAUUUGAUUCAAGCGUAACAUUAACUCAAUUCAUAAUCAUAAGUAUCAUAUCAUUUAAGAAAGCUCGUAUAAUAGGUAUAUCAAAAUAAUGCCCACUUGACAAACUUAGCUUACUCUCGUAAUACUUGGGCGAUAUUACCUCCGUCCUCUGCUCGUAUCUUCAGAUGUCACAACGUGAGUGGUUCAUGAGAUAAGAUAAACCUCAGUUAGAAACCCAAUUACUAAAAUCCAAUCUCGUCUCAAGAU
rnacentral:lncRNA from 1 species